rnacentral:rRNA from 1 species
GUACCGGGAGAUAACCCGCGGAAACGUGGACUAAUACCCCAUAACACCUUUCCCCCGCAUGGGGGAGAGUUUAAAAUCCCGAUGGUACGGGACGGGCACGCGCGACAUUAGGUAGUUGGCGGGGUAACGGCCCACCAAGCCGACGAUGUCUAGGGGUUCUGAGAGGAAGGUCCCCCACACUGGAACUGAGACACGGUCCAGACUCCUACNAAAACCCCGGUGGUCCGGGACGGGCACGCGCGACAUUAGGUAGUUGGCGGGGUAACGGCCCACCAAGCCGACGAUGUCUAGGGGUUCUGAGAGGAAGGUCCCCCACACUGGAACUGAGACACGGUCCAGACUCCUACGGGAGGCAGCAGUGAGGAAUAUUGGUCAAUGGGCGAGAGCCUGAACCAGCCAAGUCGCGUGAGGGAAGAAUGGUCUAUGGCCUGUAAACCUCUUUUGUCAAGGAAGAAUAAGCGGCACGAGUGCCACCUUGCCAGUACUUGACGAAUAAGCAUCGGCUAACUCCGUGCCAGCAGCCGCGGUAAUACGGGGGAUGCGAGCGUUAUCCGGAUUUAUUGGGUUUAAAGGGCGCGUAGGCGGGACGGCAAGUCAGCGGUAAAAGACUGCAGCUAAACUGUAGCACGCCGUUGAAACUGUCGACCUGGAGACGAGACGAGGGAGGCGGAACAAGUGAAGUAGCGGUGAAAUGCAUAGAUAUCACUUGGAACCCCGAUAGCGAAGGCAGCUUCCCAGGCUCGGUCUGACGCUGAUGCGCGAGAGCGUGGGUAGCGAACAGGAUUAGAUACCCUGGUAGUCCACGCCGUAAACGAUGCUCACUGGAUCUUGGCGAUACACGGCCAGGGUUCAAGCGAAAGUAUUAAGUGAGCCACCUGGGGAGUACGUCGGCAACGAUGAAACUCAAAGGAAUUGACGGGGGCCCGCACAAGCGGAGGAACAUGUGGUUUAAUUCGAUGAUACGCGAGGAACCUUACCCGGGUUUAAAUGCAGGUUGCAUGAGGUGGAAACACCUCUUUCCCUCGGGACCACCUGCAAGGUGCUGCAUGGUUGUCGUCAGCUCGUGCCGUGAGGUGUCGGGUUAAGUCCCAUAACGAGCGCAACCCCUAUCGCCAGUUGCCAUCGGUUUCGGCCGGGCACUCUGUCGAGACUGCCACCGUAAGGUGCGAGGAAGGCGGGGAUGACGUCAAAUCAGCACGGCCCUUACACCCGGGGCGACACACGUGUUACAAUGGCCGGUACAGAGGGCAGCCACGGGGCGACCCGGAGCGAAUCUCUAAAGCCGGUCGUAGUUCGGACUGGAGUCUGCAACCCGACUCCACGAAGUUGGAUUCGCUAGUAAUCGCGCAUCAGCCAUGGCGCGGUGAAUACGUUCCCGGGCCUUGUACACACCGCCCGUCAAGCCAUGGAAGCCGGGAGUACCUGAAGAUCGUGACCGCGAGGAACGGGCUAGGGUAAUACCGGUAACUGGGGCUAAGUCGUAACAAGGUAGCCGUACCGGAAGGUGCGGCUG